UACGUAGGGUGCAAGCGUUAAUCGGAAUUACUGGGCGUAAAGCGUUCGCAGGCGGUGAUGUAAGACAGGUGUGAAAUCCCCGGGCUUAACCUGGGAACUGCAUUUGUGACUGCAUCGCUGGAGUGCGGCAGAGGGGGAUGGAAUUCCGCGUGUAGCAGUGAAAUGCGUAGAUAUGCGGAGGAACACCGAUGGCGAAGGCAAUCCCCUGGGCCUGCACUGACGCUCAUGCACGAAAGCGUGGGGAGCAAACAGG
rnacentral:rRNA from 1 species